rnacentral:rRNA from 1 species
AUACGUAGGGAGCGAGCGUUGUCCGGAAUUACUGGGUGUAAAGGGAGCGUAGGCGGGAGUGCAAGUCAGAUGUGAAAUACAUGGGCUCAACCCAUGGGCUGUAUUUGAAACUGCAUUUCUUGAGUGAAGUAGAGGUAAGCGGAAUUCCUGGUGUAGCGGUGAAAUGCGUAGAUAUCAGGAGGAACACCGGUGGCGAAGGCGGCUUACUGGGCUUUUACUGACGCUGAGGCUCGAAAGCGUGGGGAGCAAACAGGAUUAGAUACCCUGGUAGUCCACGCUGUAAACGAUGAUUACUAGGUGUGGGGGGACUGACCCCUUCCGUGCCGCAGUUAACACAAUAAGUAAUCCACCUGGGGAGUACGGCCGCAAGGUUGAAACUCAAAUGAAUUGACGGGG